rnacentral:rRNA from 1 species
CCUACGGGAGGCAGCAGUGGGGAAUUUUGGACAAUGGGCGCAAGCCUGAUCCAGCAAUGCCGCGUGAGUGAAGAAGGCCUUCGGGUUGUAAAGCUCUUUUGUCAGGGAAGAAACGGUCUACUCUAAUACAGUGGGCUAAUGACGGUACCUGAAGAAUAAGCACCGGCUAACUACGUGCCAGCAGCCGCGGUAAUACGUAGGGUGCAAGCGUUAAUCGGAAUUACUGGGCGUAAAGCGUGCGCAGGCGGUUAUAUAAGUCAGAUGUGAAAUCCCCGGGCUCAACCUGGGAACUGCAUUUGAGACUGUAUGGCUAGAGUGUGUCAGAGGGGGGUAGAAUUCCACGUGUAGCAGCGAAAUGCGUAGAUAUGUGGAGGAAUACCGAUGGCGAAGGCAGCCCCCUGGGAUAACACUGACGCUCAUGCACGAAAGCGUGGGGAGCAAACAGGAUUAGAUACCCUGGUAGUCCACGCCCUAAACGAUGUCUACUAGUUGUCGGGACUUAAUUGUCUUGGUAACGCAGCUAACGCGUGAAGUAGACCGCCUGGGGAAGUCGGUGCAAGAUUAAACUUAAGGAAUUGGNGNGNGAGAGNGCGAGNGACGACGAGGAGAG